AACGCACGAGACCUGCGGACCUGCGGAGGGAUCAUUACAGAGUUGCAAAACUCCCUAAACCAUCGUGGACGCUACCUUCAAACGUUGCUUCGGCGGGCGGCCCGCUCUCCAGACGCCCCCGUGGCGCCCGGGGCGCGGGCCCCCUCGGCCCCCCCGCGGGGCGCCCGCCGGAGGUACCCAACUCUUGUUAAUUCUAGGCCUCUCUGAGUCUUCUGUACUGAAUAAGUCAAAACUUUUAAC
rnacentral:misc_RNA from 1 species